CUCCUAUUGCUACAACUCAGCCAAAAACAGCACCGUGCUCCAGGGGGUCACCUUUGGUGGCAUCCCCACUGUCCUGCUCAUAGACGUCAGCUGCUUCCUGUUCUUAAUCUUGGUGUUUUCUAUUAUAAGAAGAAGAUUCUGGGACUAUGGCCGCAUUGCCCUGGUGUCAGAAGCAGACAGCGAGUCCAGAUUUCAGAGAUUGUCAUCGACUUCCUCCUCAGGUCAACAAGACUUUGAAAAUGAGCUGGUUGGUAUCUAAG
rnacentral:sRNA from 1 species